UAGCUUUGUUAGUGUUUCUAUGGU
rnacentral:siRNA from 1 species